UGCUAUACAUGCAAGUCGAGCGGACAGAUGGGAGCUUGCUCCCUGAUGUUAGCGGCGGACGGGUGAGUAACACGUGGGUAACCUGCCUGUAAGACUGGGAUAACUCCGGGAAACCGGGGCUAAUACCGGAUGGUUGUUUGAACCGCAUGGUUCAAACAUAAGAGGUGGCUUCGGCUACCACUUACAGAUGGACCCGCGGCGCAUUAGCUAGUUGGUGAGGUAACGGCUCACCAAGGCAACGAUGCGUAGCCGACCUGAGAGGGUGAUCGGCCACACUGGGACUGAGACACGGCCCAGACUCCUACGGGAGGCAGCAGUAGGGAAUCUUCCGCAAUGGACGAAAGUCUGACGGAGCAACGCCGCGUGAGUGAUGAAGGUUUUCGGAUCGUAAAGCUCUGUUGUUAGGGAAGAACAAGUACCGUUCGAAUAGGGCGGUACCUUGACGGUACCUAACCAGAAAGCCACGGCUAACUACGUGCCAGCAGCCGCGGUAAUACGUAGGUGGCAAGCGUUGUCCGGAAUUAUUGGGCGUAAAGGGCUCGCAGGCGGUUUCUUAAGUCUGAUGUGAAAGCCCCCGGCUCAACCGGGGAGGGUCAUUGGAAACUGGGGAACUUGAGUGCAGAAGAGGAGAGUGGAAUUCCACGUGUAGCGGUGAAAUGCGUAGAGAUGUGGAGGAACACCAGUGGCGAAGGCGACUCUCUGGUCUGUAACUGACGCUGAGGAGCGAAAGCGUGGGGAGCGAACAGGAUUAGAUACCCUGGUAGUCCACGCCGUAAACGAUGAGUGCUAAGUGUUA
rnacentral:rRNA from 2 species